rnacentral:lncRNA from 1 species
GGGGAUUUAACCCAGGGGUGCUUUACCACUGAGUCACUUCCCCAGGCCUUUUUAUUUUUUAUUUUGAGACAGGGUCUCACUAAAUUCCUGAGUCUGGCCUUGAGCUUGCAAACUCCUGCCUCAGACUCCUGAGUUCCUGGGAUUACAGGAAUAUGCCACUGCACCUGGCAGCAACCGGAUACUAUUAUAAAGACAUUGAGAGUUUCUCAUUAAGUCUCAAGAGCUCCCAGGAACUGAAGGAACUGGAGCUGCAUGUGCUGGACUUUUAGACCUAUUCUGUCCAUUACAGUGGUCACUGGCCACAUGUGGCUAUUUAAAUAAAAUUAAUUAAGUUAAACGGAUUUUAAAUCAACUAGAAUUUUAUUUAUUUAUUUAUUUAUUUAUUUUUUCAUACCUUUAUUUUUAUGUGGUGCUGAGGAUCGAACCCAGUGUCUUACACAUUAGAGGCAAGUGCUCCACCACUGAGCUAUAGCCCCAGCCCCAUAGAAUUUUAAAUUAACUAGAAUUUAGUCACACUUAUCACAAUUCAAAAGCUCAGUAGUCACCAUGGCUGGUGGUCACCACAUUGGGUAACAUAGUUAGAGAACAUUCCUAUUGUUUUAGCAGGUACAGUUGGGCAGCGUUGCUCUAGAUUAUUUGUCCAGCUUAUGAUAAUCUUUUCUUCUAUCUAAUCCCCAGGAGUAGAGCCUUAGCUUCUGUCAAAUCAAAUUUUAAAAUUGUUUGCCUCUUUUCCAGGUACAGUGGUGCAGGCCUGGAAUCCCAGUGACUCAGGAAAUUGAGGCAGGAGGAUCACAAGUUUGAGGCCAGCCUCAGCAACUUAGUAAGACCCCGUCGUAAAAUUAAAAUAAUAAAAAGGGCUUGGGAUAUAGCUCAGUGGUAAAGUGCCCCUGUUUUCAGUCUGUAGUACCAGAAAAAAAAAUUGUUUGCCCCACUUAAAAGUCUUCUAUGAGGGGUUAGGAUUGUGGCUCAGAGAUAGAGUGCUCACCUAGCAUGUGUGAGGAUCUGGGUUCGAUCCUCAGCACCACAUAAAAGUAAAAAAUAAAGAUAUUGUGCCCACCUAUAACUAAAAAAUAUUUUAAAAAGUCUGUGGUUGCUCAUAUUAUAAUAGGGGUUCACUUGAUGCUUCGACUACUUCCCUUGUGGGGAGAUGUAGUCCCCCACAACCUUUUCUCCCUGAUCAUCUUCCCCCAUCUUCUUUUCCCUAAUCUUCUCCUUCCUGAUCUUUUCCUCCCUGAUCUUCUUUCCCCUGAUCUUCUCCUUCCUGAUCUCUCCUCCCUAAUCUCAUUUUCUCUGAAUCACCUCUAUAAAAGCCCCCUAUUCCUGCUGAUGGGCAGAAUCUCAGCUCUUGGGGCAAGAGUCCCCUGUGUUUCUCCUUUGCUAGCAAAGCAAUAAACUUUUUUCCUUUUUUUUUUUUUUAAACUGUAUCCUCCUUAUUGCAUUGGCAUCGGGACAAGGACUGAGCUUUUGGCAACAAUAUGAUAAACCUAAAUCCCUCAGUAUGGUCUAUAUGCUCUGCACAAACAGGUUUCCGAUUGCUUUUUUUCAAUCUCAUACUCUUGGCCACAUUGAAAGACACAAUCUCACCCUUCUGGCUGGUUCUUGGACCAUGAUAGCUGACACAAGCUGGGCCAGAGUCUUAGGAGGGUCUGCUGGUGACCUUGAUUGGUCCUCCCCUGAUGGAUUGCUAUUUGUUAUAGUCCUCUACAGAGUGGCACCCAUGUUGGAUCUUAGCUUUAAAAUUGAGUUUGCUCCCUCCAUAGUUGACCUUUCCUUAUAAAUGGUCUUGAAUGUUUUGCCAUUUAAGUACCACUACCUUGGUUAGGUUAGUAGACAAACUAUCUAGGCCACAACUGGCCAACUUGCACAUAGAGCCCCAAUCAGUUGGUAGAGGAAACCAUGUGGCUUCCUGGUUCUUAUUUGCUAGGGACCAUUCUGUAGAUGGCUAUAUUUUAGCAGAUUUGGUUACAGUUAGAGAUCUUCAACUUAAUUUUUACUCUGCUUUCAGAUUGCUGUGUGUUGUGAGGUGGAUACUGAGAAUUGAACCCAAGGCUUCCUGCUCUAUCACAGAGUGAUUACAUCCCCAGCCCUUUAAAACUUUUUUUUCAAAUUUUUAUUUUGAGGUAGGAUUCCACUAAAGUUGCUGAGGUUGGUCUUGAACUUGCAAUCCCUCUUACGUCAGGUUCCUGGGUAGCUGGAAUUAUAGGUGUGUGCCACCAUGUGGCUCUAGACUGAUUUUUCUAAUAGUAGCUUUAAUGUUGUAGCUUUAAUUCUAGUUUAUGAGUUGGCUUUGUGUUUCUGGCCCUCUGGCCAAGUCCAGACCACAGCUUGUUUUUGUAAACGAAGAAGUUUUAUUAGAACACAAACACUUCUGUUCAUUUACAUAUGAUCUAUGGCUGCUUUUGUACUGCAAAGACAGAGUCCAAUAGUUUCAACAAAGACCAAUACAAAUCCUUAAACAGCUGGGCAUGGUGACACAUGCCUGUAAUCCCAGCAGCUGGGGAGGCUGAGGAAGGAGGAUCAAAGUUUGAGGCCAGAUUUGCAGGUAAAUGGAUGGAGUUGGAGAAUAUAAUGCUAAGUGAGGUUAGCCAAUCCCAUAAAACCAAAUGCUGAAUGUUUUCUCCUGAUAUAAGGAAGCUGAUUUAUAAUACGGUUGGGAGCGGGAGCAUAGGAGGAUUAGAUGAACUCUAGAUAGGGGAGAGGGGUGGGAAGGAAGGAGCGGGCAUGGGGGUAAAAAGGAGGGUGGAACGAGAUGGAUAUCAUUACCCUAAGCACCCCUGGGUUCAAUCUUCAGUACCAAAAAAAAGGGCUGGGGAUCAGUGAUAGAGUGGGUGCUUAGCAUUAUGAGGUUCAGGGUUUGAUGCUUGGCACCAAAACAAACAAACAACACCCCCCCCCAAAAAAAAAAACCCACCAAAACCCAAAUAAACAAACAACAACAACAAAAACGCUGAUUUAUUUGACAAAGGGAAGAAGAGAUUUCACCGGGUCAGGUGAAGUAGCCCAUGCCCAUAAUCACAGUAACUGGUGGCUGAGGCAGUAGAAUCUUUUUUUUUUUUUUUUUUUUUUGUAUUGGAGAUUUAACCCAAGGGUGCUUUACCACUGAGUCACAUCCCCAAUCCUUUUUAUGUUUUGUUUUAUUUUGAGACAGGGUCUCACUAAAUUACUUAGAGCCUUGCUGAGUUGCUGAGGCUGAUCUUGAACAUUGCAAUCCUCCUGUCAGCCUCCUAAACUGCUGGGAUUACAGGUAUGCACCACCACAUCUGGCCAGGAGAGUCUUUUGAGCCCAGGAGCUAGAGGUCAGCUUGGGCCAUAUAGAAAAAUCCUGUCUCAAAACCAAAAACAGAACAAAAUAAAACAAAAAUCAAAGAAAACAAAAAUCUAAAACAAAGCCAGGCACUGUGGUACAUAUCUGUAAUCUGAGGCUGAGGCAGGAGGAUCCCAAAUUCAAGGGCAACCUGGGCAAUUUAGAGAGACCCUAUUUCAAAAUAAAAAAUCAAAAGGAUUGAGGAUAUAGCUUUGUGGUACAGCACUCCUGAGUUCAAUCCCCAGUACGGGAAACAAAACAAAAUAAAACAAAACACCUAAGAGACCAUAAAAGUAAAAACUAAGAAGAGACUCACCAAAAAAUUUGCUGAGAAGGAGAAACUGAAACCCUGGGGGGAGAGGCUUUAUUGCUUGUUGUUUUCCAAUAAAACUGGGGAGACAGGUUGGCAAGUAAACAGGUUGACUCAAAGCUGGUUUUGAGAAAGUUAAAGGAGAGCUUUAUUCUUUAUCAAAUUUCCACCUUUGGGGACUCAGCAGCAUGGAAAGCCAUCAUAAGAGGAGAGGAGGCACAGUGGAGGAAGAGGCAGAUUUAGCUAGGGGAAAUAUGUCAGUCUUUAAUUUCCUUGGCAUCUGUUCUCAGCAGGAGGAAGUUUUAAUUCUCAGCAGGAGGAAAUUCAAGAGCUAUUUCAAAAUCAAGGGAGUUUUGAGCAUUAGGAAAGGGUUUUCAUGAUAAUAUGCUAAUUAAGAAUUAAAACUGGGGAUGGGGAUGUGGCUCAAGCAGUAGCGCACUCCCUUGGCAUGGGUGCGGUCCGGGUUCGAUCCUCAGCACCACAUACAAACAAAGAUGUUGUGUCCGCCAAAAACUAAAAUGUAAAUAAAAUAUUAAAAAAAAAAAAAGAAUUAAAACUGAACACUUUAGCUGGGCCCGGUGGCCUAUGCCUAUAAUCCCAGUGGCUCAGAGGCCAAAGCAGGAAGAUCAUGAAUUCAAAGCCAGCCUCAGCAAUUUAGCAAGGCCCUAAGCAACUUAGUGAGACCAUGUCUCUAAACAAAAAAUAUAAAACUGGCUGGGGAUGAAGCUCAGUGGUUAAGCCCCCCUGCAUUUGAUCUUCAGUACAAAAGAAAAAAAAAAUUGAACACUUUGUACAGAAUGAAUUCAGAGAUCUGACUCGAUUGGUUAAAAAAAGUCCCAAAGAUACUGGUUGGGAAGGAGUCUUCAGUUAGGUCUGCUAAGAGUCUGACAUUCAGAGAUCACUUAAAGUCCAUAUUUGUUCACUGGCUUCAGCUGGCUGGCAUCAGUUGUGAUUAAAUAAUUUUUUUUUUUUUUUUGUGUGUGUGUGUGUGUGGUGCUGGGGAUCAAACCCAGGGCCUUGUGUGUGGGCGGCAAGCACUCACUCUACGGACUGAGCUAUAUCCCCAGCCUUUGUUUAUUUUCAAUUUUCUGUUUGACAUCUCCUUGGCAAGUCACAUCAUAAAUGGAAAUCUUUUCCUUACCUAUUAUUUUUAUAUACUAUUUGUGAUUGGUAUUAUGAAAACAGACCAAGGUUAUAACAAACUUGGCUCUCCUUCUUUCUUUUCUUUUUUUUACACUGGAGAUUGAACCCAGGGGCACUUUACCACUAAGAAAAAGCCAGCCUCAGCAACUUAGUGAGGCCCUAAGAAACUCAAUGAGAGCCUGUCUCUAGAUAAAAUAUUUUUACAUCACCCCCCUUUAUUUUUUAAAUUUUGAGACAGAAUUUCGCUAAGUUUCUGAGGGCCCUGCUGAGUUGCUGAGGCUGGCCUUGAACUUGUGAUCCUCCUGCUGGGAUUACAGGUGUGUACUACCAUGUCCAGCUCUCUCUUUUUUGUUAAGCAGACCCCAAUUUUGUUUAGGCAUUGGGUGGGCAGCAAUCUGUUCUAGGAUAUAGGUCCCUUGUCCCCCAUCCCAGGGCUGCUUGAUAAGGUGUUGAUAACACUGCCCCUGUUUGCAAGUAAUUAGUCCAAUUCUGACCCAGGGAAAGUCUGCUGGGGUUUCUAAAACUUUUUUCCCUAUUAAAACCAAAAUCUUGCCAGGUGCUGUGGCACAUACUUGUAAUCCCAGUGGCUCUGGAGGCUGAGGCAAGAGGCUCAUGAGUUCAAAGCCAGCCUCCAGCAAUUUAGUAAGCCCUGUUUCAAAAUAAAAUAUAAAGGGCUGGAGUUGUGUCUCCGUGGUAGAGCGCUCACCUAGCAUGUUUGAGGCCUUAGGUUCGAUCCUCAGCACCACAUAAAAAUAAAUAAAAUAAAGGUAUUGUGUCCAACUACAACUAAAAAGCAAAUAUUAAAAAAUAAAAUAUAAAAAGAGCUGGGGAUGUGGCUUAGUGGUUAAGUGACCCUGGGUUCAAUCCCCUGGUAUAAAUAAAUAAAUAAAUAAAAUCUCUGGGCUGGGGAUGUGGCUCAGUGGUUAAGUGACCCUGGGUUUAAUCCCCUGGUACGAAUAAAUAAAUAAAUAAAUAAAUAAAUAAAUAAAUAAAUAAAAUCUCUGGGCUAGGGAUAUAGCUCAGUGGUUGUGCACAUGCUUAAAACCCUGAGGCCGGAGUUCAAUCCCCAGUACAAAACAAGUAAAUAAACUCUUCCAGGAGAAAGGAUCAUUGUCACCUGCCUGCUUCUUCCUAUCUGGAAUGCAGUUGUGUGACAUGUGAUCUUUGGAGUUACAUCAAAUAUCUAGUUCAGUUAGGUGGCAAGCUCAAGGAUGAACCACACCUCCUUCCUAUUGUUGAGCUCCUGCAUUAUCCAUGGAACCUCCAGAUUUCUAAUUGGAGACAAAUAACUCUUUUUUUUUUUUUAAUUGGAGAUUGAACCCAGGGAUGCUUAACCACUGAGUCACAUCCCCAGCCCCUUUUAAAAAUAUUUAUCUAGAGAAGGGUCUCAUUGAGUUUCUUAAGGCCUCACUAAGUUGCUGAGACUGGCUUUAACUCAAGAUCCUCCUGCCUCAGACUCCUGAGCCACUGGGAUUACAGGAGUGUGCCACCAUGCCUGGCUACAAAUAACUUUUUAUUGUGUAAACCUUAAGCACAUGUUAUAUGUUGUGUGAGAAUUCUGUUGUAUAUAGCUAAAUAUCAUAAUUUACACAAAUAGCUGUAUUGUUUUGGGUCAAUUUGAUAAGAUAUUAGAAUUUAUAUUAUAAACAAAUAGAAUUUAUAUUAUAUCUCACUACAUAUUUAUGUAUAAUUUGUAAAAGCUUCUUUUGGUAGUCUUAUUAUACUUGUAAAAAUAUAUAUAUAAAUUUUUAUAUAUAAAUAUGUGUAUAUAUAUGUAUGUAUUUAUGUAUCUAUUAGGACUCUACACCAAGUAUUUUCCCCCAAGUAUUCUACAUCAAGUUUUCACCCCUUCUGGACUCAUGGCAGGAUGGCACUUCCUGCCCCCUUGUGGUUCUGGCCAUAGAGCUAUGACUGGGAAUGACAUUUCCCCCAUAGAUUUGGUUUAUAACACAUAUUAUCACACAAAAGUUCAUGUAUAAAUUAAAGUGCUAUCUUGAGAUUUGUAUCUCGUCCAUAGGGGAGCAUCCCUGCUCAUCCCAUUUUGAGCUUAGAUAUUCUCAUAUAAUUCAUAGAGCAGAUGGCAGGUGCAUUUCCUGAAGUAGGGUAGUAGUUCUGCUUUGCCAUUCUGUUCUUGUUCCUUUUCCCCCUCUCUGAUUUUCACAGGUCAAGCAAUCAGAAAAAAAGAUUCUGCAGCAUUCGCGUCCCAGUAGGAUUCCAGCCAGUAUAUCAGUCAUUUAUGGACAUAGGUCUUCAGCAUCAACUGGAACCCCUGCUGUAGAAGCCUAUUUUUCCCAUCAUCCCACUUAUGAAAUCAUAGAAUCUCUCUGUUACAGGAAACUUCUUUCUCUACAUUGAGGGGGAACAAUUUAUAUCAUUGUAUUUUUUUAUAAGAGAGAGAGAGAGGAGAGAGAAUUUUAAUAUUUAUUUUUUAGUUCUCCGCGGACACAACAUCUUUGUUGGUAUGUGGUGCUGAGGAU